rnacentral:lncRNA from 1 species
CGAAAUUGAUUGGUUAAUCAUACAUUCUGAUUUCAAUUUUUACUUAAUUAAUUUCCCAUAUUUCAUGUUAAUUUGGAAACCAAUUUACAACAAAACUCAACUCUUCGCUUUCCAUUCUCUUUGUUUCUUGGAUAUUUUCACUCUUUCUGGGUAUUCGAUAAAUUUUUAAAAUUUCUCUUUUGGGUAUGUUUUUGUUGAAAUAUUUGAUCAAGAAACUAUAUCGAUCAUUCAUUUUUUGGGUAAUUUAAUGGUUGUUUUUUGCUUUAUAUUUGGGUGGUGCUUGAAUUUAUUGUUUAUACAAGAAAAAUAGAAUGAUCCAGCAAUAUGGAAGUCAAAGUGCUAGCUCGAGCUCGCAUUCGAAUAGCAGUUCGCAGGAUACAGAGGAUGAUCAUACAAUUGCAGAAAUAUUAGCAGAAGAAGAAAGAUUAAAUUAUGAUGGCAGACUUGGCAAGAGGCUUUCUCAUUUGGAUUCGAUCCCGGUAUUUUAAUAUAUUAUCAUCAAUUCCUCAAAUUUCUCCCUUAUUGAAUCCUAAUAAUGAAAUUAUUGUUAAAUAAAUGGAGAUCAUGAACUUGAAUAUGUUGUCCGUAUGCUCCUUAAGUAGUCUUUCUUGAUUAUCAUUCUCUUGUCUUGUGGUUGAUGAUUUUUCUAAUUUGUUUACUUUCUGCAAAACGUUCAAGAAUUUGCAUAUUGCUUAACUAGGAAUAUGGAAUGUACUGCAGUUUAUUAUGUCGAAACUUGCAAGAAUCUGCCUAUUGUUUAACGAGGAUUCUGAAUCAUACUGCAUUUUAUACUGUUAAAAUAACAUAUAAUGAGUGCGCCGAAUGAGGAAAACUCAAUACUGCUAAGCAAUUUGUGUUGGGCGAUUUUGGCUAUACAUAAGCUUACAAAUUCACGGAAUUUUUCAGCAUACGCCUUGGGUAAUUGGUGAUACACCUGAUCCAAAUGAUGCACCCUUAUACCAUGGGAGGCUUGCUGAGAGGUUAUAAUUUUUUUCUUUAAUCUCGUUUUUGUUUUACAUUCUGUAAUUUUUUCUUGUACUUGUUACUCUUUAUUAUUUUAGGAUAUAUUUUAAGGACAUUUAUGGAGAGAGAAAUUGAAAAUAUUCCCAAUGUUUAUAAUUCUUUCAAUUGUCUCUUUUUUUCGAAAAUCCUAAAAUAGUUUUUUCCUUCUCCUCCUCCUCAUUCUUCUUCUCCACUACUUGUACUCCUAUUCUCCCAGUUUUAAAAUAAGAGCAUCUGAUGACUGGCUUACAUUCUUUGUUCUUUUGCUUAUGGAAACAAGAUACUGAAAAAAAGAAAACAAACAAUAAAGUAAGUAGGAGAAAAAGAAAGAAUUGAUACCAGGAAUAAUAGAAUAAAUGGGAAGAAGGUAGGAACAAUUAUUGCAAUUUUUUGUUUACGAAAGAAAAAUUUUCCCAAUUGAUUGUUGUAGGGACUAUACUGAAUUAUUUAGAAAUAAUUAUAGAGAGUUGUUGCAGUAAUUAAGGAUAUAAUGGGAUGCAAAAGGGUGUGGGAUGGAAGAGGAAUUUUUUACAAUGAGAAGUAUGCUUUGAAUUUUACGAACUUGAGUUUGGAGAGUUGAUGGUCAGUUUUGAAGAAUUCCUCUUACUAUUUCUAUCCUGUCAGGAUUUCGAUAAAACUAUAAAAUAUUUUGGCAUAUUACUAAAUAUAGUUAAAUAGAUUCAAGAAGCCUUUAUUAUUUUUUCAGCUUCGGUAGCCAUAUGAGUUUUGAAGUUGUUGCAAUAAUGGUUUAAUGGGUCCUUCUUCACCAUUUUUCUUUGAGAACUUCUUGACUAUAUAUAAAAUGCACGUUUUUUCUUUUAGUCUUUUGCAUGUUUGCUUUGAUGAGUCCUUUUUCAACAUUAUUCUUCUUCGAGAGCAUCUUUUCUAUAUCUGAUAUGAAUAUGUCUUUUCGUUUUAUUUUUUGGCAUGUCUGUUCACUAUUGCCUGUAGAGGAUGGAGGGGUUUUUUUUAAACCUGGUCAUAUGGAUGUGCAGGAUUGUGAUAUUACUGUUUGAUCGUUCGAACGUUCCAUAUUUUUGUUAAUGGAUACUUCUUUCUUGAAAGGCUUUCCUUAACAUAGCUGUCAUUCAGGUUGACAACAUAGGGGUUAGCUGAAUUACAAAUCCAGGGAGAUGGGAAUUGCCAGGUUUGUCUCUCUUGACUAGUCUAAUUAUUGUUAAAUUGUCUAAUUGUACCGAGGAGUUUAUGGAAAUAGUAUCUAGUUAUGCCAAUAUUGUUACCAGUAUUUUUGAUGGAAAGCAGCAAGGAUAAAUUGAAAAUGUUACCAUGCUUCGGGUUGUUUUGUUCAAUUUAUAUCAGUUUACUGUUACUUUUUUGCAUGUUCGGCUAAGCUUGAAAAUAAGUGAAAAGUACUUUUCAUUAACUUAUUGUUUCCAACCAUAACAGUUAAAGGAAUUAUUUAUUUAAAACUUAUUUACUUAUAACUUUUUAAGCUUAGUCAAUCGUGCUCUUUGUUAUGCAAUUUCAAAUUUAUCUUAAGUUACCCUUAUUUGGGACCUUGGUGAGGUAUAUACCUGCAAGGCCAUUCUACAGUUUUGUUGCUGCCAAUGAGUGACAAUCAAAUCUAUUUGACUUACUUGACAGUUUCGAGCCCUCGCAGAUCAGUUGUUAAAAAAUCCCGAUUACCAUAAGCAUGUAAGAAAGCAGGUCAUCAAAUAGGUGUACUUCAGAUAACUUCUCAUGCAUUGACUUAUUCCAAUCCUAAUCUUAGUGUAGUGAUUGAUGAGGAUGCUAAAUAAAAAACUUAAAUUAACUUAAUUAAAUUACUGUGUUCCCACUCACAUUUUCUGUAAAAAAAAGGAAAAAUUUCUAAUUAGCUAUUCAACCUUGACAUAUAUCAUGUUAUUCAAAUCCUAGUUCAACCUCGGUUGAACCUUUACCUUUUGCAGUCAAUGCUUAGGUAGGUUUAAAAAAACAUUCAUCUUCUAGUAUUAUUUUGACAAGUGGGUGCUUUUUUUCACUUUUGCACGUUAUUUGUCAUGCACUAGCUACAUAUUAAGGUUUCACCAUACAAAUUGUGUCUAAACCUUGUAUUAUCAAGACUGCUGUUAACAUUCCUGAAGACCAUCUUUUAGUUCAGAGUCAAAUACAUCAAGAAAACUGAAUAGCUAAACUCCAUCAUCUCUCAAAAAUAUUAUAAUUUACUGUAAUAAUAAUUGCCUGAAGAAUUAAAGCAGCUCCAAAAAUAGAAUUUUCAAAUUUGAUGCUCAAUUCAGAUACUUGAGCUAUAGAUUAGCAGACCAAAAUAAUUGAAAAUUAACUGAUUUUUUGAAUGCUUUAAAGAUUUUCAAAAUGAACAUGUUUUCAUUUGGUGUGGAGUUCAAGGACUUGUACUUUCUCAGUCAUGGGUCGGGACACCUCAAACUAAUAAACAAUUUCCUAAAAGAAAUUCUUCAUCUCAUUAUUCUAACUAUACUUGUGAUAUCGUAGCUUAUUCUGGUUUUUUUUUUCAUAUUUUUUAAGUUAAAAAACACAUGACCUCUCAUCACUUUACUUUGCAUGUCAAAGAAUAUAAAUUCAAACUAGAGAUUCAAUAAUCUCGUAACCAACAUUAUCUCUCACUCAGUCAUUAUUCAGAUUGUUCCGAAUCUUCUGAGGUAAUAUAGGUUUGUCCAAUAAUGUAAGAGUUCAAUGACAUGUGUAGCUAAAUUUAGAAGAAAUAGCAACUAUGCAAAUCUUGGAAGCUACCGUUAUCCAUAUUCAAGUGUCUUAUUGAAACUAGUUUUUAUGAUGUACAAUAUAACACUUAACACAUGUUAACAUAUGACACAAGAUUAUGGAUUGGUUCAGACGAGAUAGGUAUGGUUAGACAAUAAGCUUUUGAAAACAAGUUUUGUGGUAUGAAAAUGCAUUCAAUAUUCUUAUUUCUUCCCUGUCCAUAUCAUAUCAGUUUGUAAAAUUUCAUACGUUCAAAGUGCAGUUUGUAAUUUGACAAUGAUAAUUAUCACUUGAUUUUCCAAGAUAUUUAGAUGGUCUUCUGAAGAGGUUCUCUUCCCCCACCCCAACUUCAUGACCUGCGAAAUCCAGUGAUUUCUAAGUAACAAAGCUAAUAACCUUUGUUACCUGUCAUUUCACCUGUGGUGCCAAAUUCAGAAUUUUUAUCUUUCAACAACUCAUCACCAUGACCCGACACAGUAGAAUUUUAAGCAUAUUGACAUUUGAAAUUUUAUCCUUUCGAUCAGAUCAGUGAUCUUCGCUCGUAACAUACCAUAAUAAUUUCCAAUAACGGGUUUCUCUUGGUUAGUGUCUCAGCAUUACUAAUAUUUUCCAUUUACAACUGUUUCUUAAAUUUUUUCCUUAGAUUAUGAUCUCAGAUGUACUUGCAUUAUGCAUCGCUUCUGAAAUUGCAUCUUCUUUUUCUCAUUUUAGUUUCUUGAUUUCCUUUCAGUUAAAACGUCACAAAAAGCUCUAUGAAGGUUAUGUCCCCAUGAAGUACAAAAGCUACACGAAGAAGAUGAAAAAUUCAGAUACCUAGACUUUGGGUAACAGUUUUCUCCUCAUUUGACGGGGUAAUUUUCAUUGACAUGAUUUUAAUUUCAUCAGGCUGGGGGAGUGGGAGAUCACGUUAUUCUACAAGCAGCUGCAGACCAAGUAAGUUAAAAAUUUUGAUCAUAAAUAUUCUAAUGCUCAAAGCUCAAAGUAUCUCUUUUUCCUCAUACUUUAUUGCAACUUAGUAUGUUCAUGUUAGUAGAUACAAAUAGGUUUCAUAAGAGUGAUACGGUCUCAGUAGAACAUGUUAGAGGGAGAUGUAGAUUGUUUAAGGAUUUUAACUUUUUUUGGAUUUUCCAGUAGUUCUAGCUAUGUAUUGAACGGAGCGGCGAAAAAGGAUGUAGUCAACUCAAAUCUAUUGGGAAUAAGGCUUAGUUUGUUGUUAUCUGUAUAUUGUUCAUCUCACUUGGAAUAUAUAAGGAAUGUCCUGUCUGUUUUUAAGGAUGUAAAUUAGGAAAGACAAGCCAAGCUGAGUGCUAGGGUGUCCAAUGUUUUGAUUUCUUAUCAAAUUAAAUAUUUUUUUUUAACCUUGGUUUAUUUAUAACAAGCCAAUUAGAGGCAAGCUCGAAUAUUUCUUGCACAUCUAUUUAACUUGUAUGACUUGGCAGGACAAGCUAAAUGAAUUGGCUAGCCUAAAAUCUUGAAUAAGCACGAUUUGUCAUUUUGUGAACUAAUCUAUAUCUAGCUCUUAAUGAACAAAUAUUUAGGAGUUGAAAAGCAUCCAUUAAGUGCCUAAUGUUAUGAACAUUUGUUGGAAAUAUUGGCACACAUAUGACAAACGCACUAUUGAAUUUACUCUUCCAAGUUAGACAAUAUUAGUACUGCAUUAUUUUAGCAUCAUUGUCUGUUAUUUUUUGUCACUAAAUUGAUCUAUGCUUUUUUGUGUACCAUCUUAUAUUGGCACCUGAUUAUUUUGAACUUUCUAUAGUUUGAAGCAAAAAUUGCUAUAUUGAAAUCCUUCCUAAGGAAAAAAUCCAUCCAGAUGCAUGCAUAGUGUAUUCUUUAAUCUUGUUUUUACAUUUCUUCUUCUUCUUCAAUGCUAUUUUUUUUUCUCUUACGAUUUUUAUGACGUUCGACUGAAGAAGGAAAAAAAAUGAAAGGUGUAGAAAUCCCAAGAAUCAUGGGAUUAAAUGUGUUGUAUACCUUAUUUGAUUCAGGCAAGUUUAUUUUUCAUUUUUCAGGAGAUUAUAUUCCUUCUUUAUACCACAUUCUUGUAUUAUAAAUAGGAUCCCAUAAUAGUGUCUCAAUCAUCAAUAAAUAAAACAGAAAUUUCCUAACUGCUCUAUUUACAUGGUAUCGAUUUGAACUUUGACGAGGAAUGGGGCUGUGCAGAUAACGGCGUUCAGUAUAGGAGGAAGCUAGAACAUGAACAGGUUUAUGAAUUUGUGGCUGGACUCAAUAACGACCUUGACGAUGUGAGGGGAAGGAUCCUCCAUCGCUACCCUCUGUCGUCGAUGCGAGAGGUGUUUUUGGAGGUGCGGAGAGAAGAAAACUGGCGACUCAUGACGCUUAAGGAUAAGAUAAUUGGGCUAGAAGACGCUUAAGCCCUUUUGUCUAAUGAAAUUGGGCCUAAUGGGUUAGCUCAAUUUAAACAAAGUGGUAUUCAAGAAAUGGGCCAGCUUCAUGGGUCUACAGCAAUUGGAUCAAAGUAAUUGGGCCUUAAUGGAUCUGCUUUAAUAUCUAGAGGACCAAUUGUAAAUAAGCGAAGCCCAAAACGACAAAGAGAACGUCCAUGGGUGACCAUUGUCGUAAAUCGGGGCACAAAGAAGAUAAUUGUUGGGAUAUACACAAAACCAAUUGAUAGAAAAUCAAGACAAAACACAAAAAAUUGUGACUGUCAAGCAUCGGUUGAUUCUACUGAGAUAAAAAAUAACUCCACUUCAAGCGGUGUGCUUAAUGCAGAGCAAUUGGAACAACUCUACAAAAUGUUCUCUAGACUCCGAACUUCUGGACCAUUAAGUUCUCUAGCCCGCAAAGAUAAUUUUUUUUAGAGUACUAAAUACCAUUGCACAGUCUGAUUCUCCUUGGAUUAUUGACUCCGAAGCAUCCGACCACAUGACAUACUAUUUCCUCCUUUUUUCAUCAUAUUCAUUGUGUGCUAACAAUAUUAUAGUGAAAAUUGCAUAUAACUUAUUUUCAACGAUGGAGGGAAAAUGGAGUAUUCGAAUUUCUAACUAUAUAACAUUAGAGUACGUUUUUCAUGUUCCAAAUCUAUUCUGCAAUUUAUUGUAAAUUAGCAGGUUAACAAAAAGCUCCAAUUUUUGCUAUAUUCCUCCAUUCUCGUUGGUUUUUCAAGAUCUAUUUUUGGGAAAGACGAUUGGUAGUGUUAAAGAGUGUGAGGGACUCUACUACUUUGAUGAAGUCAAUGUGAGUAAACAUUAUCAAAUUUCAAAUUGUGGUUUUGCAUUUGUCCCCAAGGAUAACGAAAUUAUGCUAUGGGAUUUUAGAAUUGCUCAUUUUAACUUUCAGCACCUAAAAUGUGUUUAUCCUUCCAUUUUCAUAUAAAACGUCUAUUGAUCUUAAAUUUAUGAGUUGGCAAAACAUCAACAUUUCCCGUUCCCAAGAUCUACGUACAAACCAUACAAACCAUUCAUUGUAAUCUAUAGUGAUCUAUGGGGUCCUUUACGAACCACUAAUUGCACUUACAAAAAUUGGUUAGUGACAUUUAUUGACGACCAUACUCGCAUUUUUUUUGGUUUUAUGUACUAAAAGAAAAAAAUCGAAGUCGAAUCUAUAUUCAUCAACUUCCACUCUAUGGUGCAAACUCAAUACCAAACAAAUAUUCAAAUUCUAUGCAUUGAUAAUGGCACAAAAUACUUUAAUGCCACUCUCUGAGACUACCUUCAAGAACAUGAAAUAAUUUACCAAAGUUUUUGUGUUGACAUCCGCAACAAAAUGGGGUUUUUUCAAAUGAAGAAACAUGCACCUUCUAGAAGUUGGUCAUGUUUUGAUGUUUACCAUAAAUGUGCCCAAACUAUUCUGGGGAGGUGCCACUUUAACAUCCACUUAUCUCAUAAAUACGAUGCCUAGUCGUACUCCCUUGUUUGAUUCUCCUCUCAAAAAAAUUUAGAAUUACUUCCCUAAUUCGUGCCUCGAUUUUAACUUAUCUCUCAAAGUGUUUAUAUGUACUGCUUUUAUCCAUGUGUAUCCCCAUCGUCGAAGUAAACUCGAUCCACAUUCAUCUAAGUGUGUCUUUAUUUGAUAUUCACCAACUCAAAAAGAUUACAAAUGCUAUGAUCCGUCCACAAAAAAUGUGUUUGUCAGCCUUGAUAUCACAUUCUUUGAAAAGACAUCUGAUUUCAACAAACCCUCUCUUUAGGGAGAGAAUGUGAGUGAAGGUCGUUUUUUGGACUUUGAUCUCUCUUCUCUUUCUCAUUCGGAACCCGUCACACCAUCUAACAUGCCAUUUACAUAAGGAAAUUCGAAAUCAAAGGGAGACGUAGAAAAAAAAAAUGAUAAGGAGAUAUUAGUUUACUCAAAAAAGUCAAAAUCAAAGUACAAGGAGAAUCUCAUUCUUGAAGCACCAUGAGAGUUGGAACCAAUGGUAGCUCCAGAUGUCCAUAAGGACACGUUUGAGAGUGAUCUAUCUACCUUUGAGAGUGAUCUAUCACUUACCUUAAUAAAUAGACUCGAUCAUGUAUUGUGCACACUAUCUCAAAAUUCGCAUCUUAUAAUGCUUUGUCUACAAAAUUUCUUGCUUUUUCCUCUAACCUUGAUAGUAAAAAAUUCGCAUCUUCAAAAUUCGACUUCUCUUAUCUCUAACAGCUAACUUGGAUUGGCCCCUUCAACAACUUGACAUUAAAAAUUCAUCCAUCAAUGGGGAAUCUGAAGAGGAAAUCUUCAUGACAUUACCACUGAGUUUUUGUAGAAGAAAUGAAAAGAACAAGGUUUGUAAACUAAAAUAUUCUGUAUACGACCUUAAAUAGUUACCAAGAGCAUGGUUCGAUAGAUUUGCAAAAGUGUUGAAAUGUUAAGGAUAUCAAUAAGGACAAUCAGGUCAUACUAUAUUCUUCCAAAUAUCUGAAGAUGGCAAGAAGACAAUUUUAAUUGUAUAUGUCGAUGACAUAAUUCUAAUUGGAGACAAUACAGUGGAAAUGGAAAGAUUGAAGAUAAGCCUAGCUACAGGGUUCGAAGUGAAAGAUCUGGGACAAAUGUGAUACUUCUUGGGAAUGGAAUUUGCUAGGGGCUUGUUUGAGCCACAUUAUUUUAAAAAAAAAUACAUUUUUCAACAGUGAUUUGAUAUAAUUUUAACCAUACAUUCUUCAAUAAAAUAAUAGUACACGUAAAUUUAAAACAUUUCAUAAUUUUUGACCACAUAUUUUUUAUUGAUUUGACAUGAAUAAUGUAUUUUUCCUAGAAUGUGGCUCAAACAUGGGCUAGAUAAAAAAGAGAAUUAGUAUUUCUCAAAGGAAAUAUGUGCUUGAUGUCCUAAUUGAAAUUGGCAUGCUAGGAUGCAAACCAAGUGACACCUAUAAAUGGAGGAAGAAAAUUAUAGGACGGUGAAAAACCAGUUGAAAAGGAUCAUUAUCAAAGUCUAGUACAAACCAAACUUUGCAUUUGCAAUUAGUGUGGUAAUUCAACAUAUGUAUUCUCCAAAGGAAGCAUACUUAGAAGCAAUAUACAGAAUUCUUAGAUAUCUAAAAGGCUCUCCAGGAAAGGGACUCUUCUUCAAAAAGAGUGAAAGUGAUGAGGACAUCUACUUUUUAUUUAUAUUUAGUUGGAAUUUAUUUAUGUUUUAGAUUUUAUUUAUGUAAUUGGGCUUGUGUUGGCCCAAAUCCAUUCUAUUUAGGGUUUUAGUCUUUACUAUUUAAACCUAAUUGCGAUUUAAUUUCAUUAGUUUUGAUGAAUUGAAGAAUAUUUUGGUGGUUUGUUGCUUAUGGCUUCUCCUUCCUCUCCCCCAUGAAUUUCUGCUUCUUCUCCGGUUUCUCCUCCCAUUCUCUUCGGUUCUCCCAUCUUUCUUGCUUCUUUUUUUUAUUUUUUUAAUUCGUCAUGCAUCAAAUUUGGUUUUAGAGCCAAAUUUUGAGUAAUUUUUCAUCCACAAUCCAAAAGUUUCUUUCUAUCCUCUUCCCAAAAACUUGUGGAACAGUACAAACAAAAAAUAUUGUUGUGAGGCAGCAGUUAUCUUGUUCAAUUUUCUUUCUAGUUGAUUAGGAAAAAAGAGUCACUAUUCACGGGAGGAAUUUCAUUUUUUUUUUUUAGAUUUUUCAGCAGUUUCACAAAAAAAAAAAAAAUCUUUACUGUUCACGGGUACUGUUCACACCCGAAAUUUCAUUUUUUUAUUUAUCAUUUUCUACAGUUUCCAAAAAAAAAAAAAAAAAAAAAAAAAAAAAAAAUCAGUUUUAGAGUUUUAGGCAUUUGCUACUGCUAAGUGUGCUAUUUCAUAAAUUUUAUCCCUAACAAUCAAACCUUACUUACAUUCUGCCUACAUACAAGAUCAGUCCACCUUACGUUAACCCAACCCUAUAAUAAUCCAUAUAUCCACAUAUAAUUAUUACCCGCGAGCCCAUUCCUUUUAUCAAGACAUUUGGGCCAUAAACUAGUGGCCCAAAGUACUCCCAAUCUCGGUUAAAACUCACUCUCAUUUAAUCCAAUUCAAACCCACAACCCAUUUCUUCUCAGCCACUCGUCCAGAUUAACCCACAGUUACCAUAUGUUCCACGACCACCCUCACCGCCAAUCGCCAGCAACACACUGCCACGCCAGUUGUCAUCCACAACCCGGAGUUCAAUUUUUGCUUUAGUUUUCACGUCGAUGGACUUCUUCUGAGUUCAGAGUACCAAUGACAUUUGUUGAAUUGGAUUUGACCUAUUAUUUACAUUGGGGCAGCUAGUUAAAACUCUUGAGUAUUAGUGUUCCAUUCAGUGACUCGACUGUUUAGGAGUAUUUCAUUAUAAUUUUCUAUUGGAGACGUGCCAACUUGGAAAUCAUAAUUGAGCACAGUUCUUAUUCUUUGGGUUCCAUCAGGUUUAAACUUCCGUGGGCACCACCGCCACAACUAAACAAUAGGGAGUGCUAGAUUUCUAUUUGUCAUUGGUUUAUAAUACCGCUUCAUUUAAAAUUGCAUUGACUAAAUUUUUGUGAUGUUAUUAUUCUAACAAUAUACCUAAAGUCACGUGACUGAAUCCGUUGAUUUCGUCAAAACCUUAUUUUACCCCACUUAUAUUACAUGAUUAGAUUUUGACUAGUAUUUGAUUUAUGCUUUAUUAUUGUACAUAGAUCAGCAAUAUUAGCUUGCCAAAUUUGAAUUUACUUAUCCCUGAAAAAAAUGCUUAACUUGUUAUUUUUCACUGCUUGUAUUUAUUGUUUAUUGAUCUCAUCAUUGCACGUCAUUUAGUUGGUAUUACAUUGCAAGUAGUUGCGUAGUGGUCGUUUUGUUGUCUCUAUUUCCAAUACAUUGACCAUGUAUCCAUCCCAAUUUGAUGCACUCACUAGACAAUUAGCGCAACUUGCCACUAGCCUAUCGACUGUCCAAUCAGAUAUAACUGCUAAUCGUGAGAAGGGAAAGAACCUAGCUGCUAAGUUGAGCAAUUUUAAGCGAACCCCUCGUUUGACUGACACUAAUUUUGAAGCAUCUCAUAAUAGACAAUAUUAUCGCGGACAAAGGGAUCAAAAAUAUUUUCGAUUCGAUCGUAGGAAUAGAGAUCAGGUUUGUAAGCGAGAAUAAGGCCAUAGUUAUCAUGGUACUCAUUCUCUUCCUCGUCGUAAGGAGCGUUUCUUUAGAGACAUUGACUUGGAUACUCCUACUUUCGAUAGUUGCUUAGAUUAUGAAAUUUUUACCCAAUGGAACACCCUUACACAAUGGAAUCGACUAGUAACUGAGUACAUUGCUCAAUUUGAGAAAUUUCGAAUGAAAUGUCAUGUCGUUGAAGAUGAGGCCCUGACUUUGAGUAGGUUUAUACAAGGUCUAAGAGAUGAACUUAGCCGUGAGCUUUUCUUUCGAGGCGUCGUAGUCACUUGAUCAUGCUUACUCUUCAGCUCGAGACUACGAGUUAUUUAUUAGUACUUCAUAUGAAAAGCGCGACCAGCAUCGUUCUCCUAUGUCAUUAGCGCCACCUCAACAUGAGUCUGUCAUAGAGCCUUCCCCGUCUAGUGUUCCUCCUAUUUGGAAAAAUAAGUGUAAAUGUCGUGAUAGUCCAAGGCCCCAUUCUCCUUAUAGAAGGCGUAUUGACAAUCAUUCGUCUGUUUCAUUGGCUCCACUUCCUCCCGUUAAGUCUCUUCUAGAACCUCCCCCGUCUAAUGUUCUUCAAAUCUUGGAAAAUAGGAGUAAAAUUUUUGAAAUUCCAAGAACUUCUUCUCACCUGCUAUGCAUUAGCUGUAAGGACUUUGGCCACAUCUCUUCCAACUGUCCUAGUUGAGCCUUAGUCAUAGAAGAACGAAAGGAUGUAAUAGAAGAGUCGGUAAAAGAUCAAAUUUAUGAACCUAAAUUUGAAGAAUGUGAUAACUUGAAUGAUAUUGAGGACACUUCCUUAUGUAGUAUCAGGACUUUUCCUAUGAAUCUAGGGGUUGUACCCCUUUUUCCCGAUACCUCUCAGUUAAAUGUUGUGUGUCAUACUCUUUGCCAACCCAAAGGUACGGAUGAUUUGUGUAAUCAUGUCCUUUUCAAGGAAAAUCUUGAGAAUUGGGAUUUGAUCCUCCCAACAAUUCAAAUUGCAUAUAACAAUUUUGUGCAUCGGUUUAUAGGUACGAGUUCCAUCGAAGUUAUUCAUGGUUAUAAGUCUAGGAAACCUUUAGACCUUAUUCCCAUGUCUCCACAUACUAGUAUGUCUAUGUCAGCUGAGGUAUUUGUACGUCAUCUUCAUGACUUGCAUAUUGAGAUCAAUAAACAACAUGACGCAAAUAAUGCAUUAUAUAAAUUUCAAGCUGAUUCGUAUAAACGAUAUUUUGAAUUUAAUAUUGGGGAUUAUGUCAUAUUGCAAGUUUGUAGUGCUGGUCCUUUAAAAAUAUUAAAGCAUGUUGGCUUAGAUGCACAUGUCAUUGCCCUUUCCUCACAUUUUAGCUACCACGCUACUUCAAGCUACCACUCUACUUUAAAUAUUGAGGACUUCAUUACUUACAAACACCGUUUUACUUCCUUUGAUGAUUUAUUUCUACUUAACUUUAUGGACCCCCAACUUGAUUAUGUUGAUAUUUCUACUUUAAAACCAUCUAUCACAGCACACAAAGAUAAAAUUGAUGUUAUUUUAGAUGAAUGUGUUGUAUUGACCAAUGAUGGCAAGAUUCAGUACUUCCUUGUUUGUUGGGUAGAUCAACGUACUUCUUAUGCUCCUCAUUAUAUGCAAUCAUGUGAAAAUCUUGAAGAUGAGGUGCAUGAGUAUUGGUUAUUUGGAGUCCAGUAUUAGUACCUGGUUAGAAGGAAAAAUCGCCCUCCUUGGUCAGAUCAUAUUCUUGGGAAUAAGUUACAGUUUUCAGUAGUAUCAAUCAUGGAAUUUCGUUACUUGGUUCGUCAGAAAGAUCGUCCCCCGUGGCUUGGCUUGACGCAUUUGGAGUAUCAGAUUGAUUGCAGCCUAUACUAUCUAUCAACUCGACAGGGUCGAGUUUUUCUCCCUCCCCGAGAGAGUUGAUGAGGACAUCUACUUUUUAUUUAUUUUUAGUUGGACUUUAUCUAUGUUUUAGAUUUUAUUUAUGUAAUUGGGCUUGUGUUGGCCCAAGUCUAUUCUAUUUAGGGUUUUAGUCUUUACUAUUUAAACCUAAUUGCGAUGUAAUUUCAUUAGUUUUGAUGAAUUGAAGAAUAUUUCGGUGGUUUGUUGCCUAUGGCUUAUUCUUCCUUUCCCUCCCCCUCUCCCCCAUGAAUUUCUGCUUCUUCUCCGGUUUCUCCCCCCAUUCUCUCUGGUUCUCCCCUCUUUCUUGCUUCUUCUUUCUAUUUUUUUAAUUCGUCCUGCAUCAGAAAGUAAGGAGGUGGAAGUAUUCACCGAUGCUAAUUUAGCAGGAUCAAUUGAAGAUAGGAGAUCGACUACUAAUUAUUGUACCUUUGUAUGGAGAAAUUUGAUGACUUGGAGAAGAAAAAAAAGAAUGCAGUGGCCAGAAGUAGUGUUAAAACCAAGUUUAGAGCAGUAUCAGGGAUUUGUGAGGGCUAUGAUUUAAAAGAACUCUUGGGAGAACUACAGGCUAUAGUGAAAUUCCCUAUCAAACUCUAUUGUAAUAAUAAAGUAGCUAUCAAUAUCUCUCAAUCCAGUUCAACAUAAUCGAACUAAAUAUUUAGAAGUGAACAAACAUUUUAUCAAAGAAAAGGUUGAAAAUGGAAUUGUAUGCAUGACUUAUGUUCCUACUACAGAGCAAACUGUAGUAUCUUCACCAAAGGAUUACCACGACGAAAUUUUGAUAACUUUAUCUUCAAGUUGGAUAUGGCUAAUAUUUAUGAUCUAACUUGAGGAGAGUGUAAAAACCCCAAGAAUCAUUGGAUUAAAAUGUAGGAUUUAGGUCAUUGAUUGUAUACCUUAUUUGAUUCACUCAUAGUUAAGGCAAGUUUAUUUUUCUUGUUUUAGGAGAUUAUAUUCCUUCUUUAUACCACAUUCUUGUAUUAUAAAUAGGAUCCCAUAGUAUUAUCGAUCAAUAAAGCAGAAAUUUCCUAACUGCCCUGUUUACAAAAGGAAAAGGCUACGAUCGAGCAGUUUUUAAUCAUUCAGAACCCUCGUAUUUCUACAAAUGUUCUUCGACCCUUGUCCUCUUUUUGACACAAAAAAUUAAGAGCAAACCUUAAAGGCGAUAACAUGAAAAAUAAUCUCAAAAUAUAAAUAUCACUAAAAAUAAACUUAGUUUUCUCGAUGUUUUCAUUUGCCUUUUGUGGACUGGAAGUUUGGAAGUUGCACUUCAUUAUUUCUAUUGACAUUUUUGUGUCCCCUUGUGUUUUGAAAAGUCAUGGCUGAG